rnacentral:rRNA from 1 species
GAUGAACGCUGGCGGCGUGCUUAACACAUGCAAGUCGAACGGGAAACCUUUUAUUGAAGCUUCGGCAGAUUUAGCUGGUUUCUAGUGGCGGACGGGUGAGUAACGCGUGGGUAACCUGCCUUAUACAGGGGGAUAACAACCAGAAAUGGUUGCUAAUACCGCAUAAGCGCACAGGACCGCAUGGUCCGGUGUGAAAAACUCCGGGGGUAUAAGAUGGACCCGCGUUGGGUUAGCUAGUUGGCAGGGUAACGGCCUACCAAGGCGACGAUCCAUAGCCGGCCUGAGAGGGUGAACGGCCACAUUGGGACUGAGACACGGCCCAGACUCCUACGGGAGGCAGCAGUGGGGAAUAUUGCACAAUGGGGGAAACCCUGAUGCAGCGACGCCGCGUGAAGGAAGAAGUAUCUCGGUAGGUAAACUUCUAUCAGCAGAGAAGAUAGUGACGGUACCUGACUAAGAAGCCCCGGCUAACUACGUG